GGACUCAGUAACUCAGUUGGUCAAGCGCUGCACCGGAAUCGCAGUGCCGCAAGUUCAAUUCCUGCCAGAGGGCCG